CAACAACAAAAAAAAACAUACAAAAAACCCCACAACCCAACAAAAACAAAAAGCCACCCAAUCCAAAACCAACAUAAAAGAACUAUUGAAUUUGCCUAAAGAUCACUGUUUGAAAAUUGUGUAAUGUAAAUAUUGCAGAAUGUCUCAUACAGUGGCCCAUUGUUCAUCUCUUUUAGUGUGCUGUUCCUACAGUUUUUCUUCUGACUUCUCUGUGCUGCUCAUCUAAGACUUAGCAUGAUGUAUUCCAUUAAAACGAGGUAUUUAUUGAAUAAAAAUGUAACUGAAGGAAUAAUAAAAAUGUGGGAUUUGAACACAAUAUUUCACCAGAUUCAGAAAUUACUUUAGCCUUUUUCUCAUUUGUUAAAUUGUGACAAAGUACGCUAUUAGUGAUAUUAAAAUGCCUGAUUCAGAAAUGCUGUGUCAGCACCAAGUUAGUGGUAACUUUACUCUUAUCUUUUGCUAUAUAAAUUAAUGGUUGCCUUACCAUUUAUGUAAUACAUUUAGUCAGAGGGGUCUUACGAAAAUCAUUAUGUUGAAAGCUGUGUCUCUGGAAGUUCAGACAUGUCUCUGGAGGUUUAGACAAUUGUUGAAAGUAUAAAUGAAGGCUGUUGUGGAGUGUUACUUUUAGAUGCAUUUAAAACAAACAUGCUUACUGGGACAGGGGGUUUGAGAGCUAUAGAGCAAUCAGCUUACCAACCCAUGAGUUCAGUGUAUCUUUUAGUUGAAGAAAAAUUUUACAAAAUUAAUUAAAAAAAUUCUAUGUAAAGCUCUGAUAUUGAAGAUGCUGCAUAUGUGCUCCACAAAGCUUAAAAUGCAGACCUGGACAUGUUAGGAUCAGUGAAGGGCUGUAACAAUAUUAACUUCAUUAAACAUGAUUAAACUAAACAAAAAUGGUCUUGUUAAAUAAGUAAGGUAAUUUUAUGCUUUUUUUUUUUCAGGAUUUUAUGUUAAGGUUAGAACAAGGAAGAGUUACAGGAAGCUGUGCUUAUCUCACUAGUAAGUUAGCAUCACUUAAGUAAAAAUGGGCUUAAUGUGUGCUAUUAGUUGGUGGCUUCAGAAUUGGUCCUUGUAAGGAGUUUCUCGCUGGUUAGAUGUAGUUACAUCAAGCAGCAUAAGAAGGAUGUGCUGACUAGUACAGUAAUUUUUAGAUGGUAAAAAGUUACUUGAGCUGUCUCUAAAAUUUAUGUGAUACUGAAAAGUAUGUAAUUUCAAACUGGUUUGCAUAAGUUUGCAUAAUUUUUCUGUGUUACAUAUACUACCUUCAGAUUCUGCAUUAAGCAGUUUAUUGUAAGGAACAAAGACUAAUCCGUAACUUCUGUGGCUUUUUGAGGUUAGGGAGGGGAUCAGCAAAUGCAAGUAUAAUUAUUCCAUAAAUAGAUAUUUCAUUUCCUAAGCAUGUUCUUUACUAUCAUGUAGAUAUGGUAUUUGCAAAUUGUGAUAGUAUCAUAGCAUCCUGUCAUGCAGUAACGCAAAAAAGGAUGUUGAUUUUCACAUGAUCCAGAGCAAUCCAUGAAAUGAGUUGUGAAUGAGCCAAGGUUUAAUUAUUAAUGGCCAAGGAUUUUUCUGUCACUUCUUCAUGAAAAAGGUACAAGUGGUGCUUUUUCAAGUUUUGAAAAUUACCCUUUAUGAGCAGCUACUACUAAACAGUGAGGUUUAUCUAAGUUAUCAGACCAAAAGAGAGAUGAAAAACUUGGAAAUCUGUCAAAGUGUCAAAAGCAAGCAUAGUUAAAUUAGAGGGUGAAAAUGUGAAAUUUGUAGCCAUUACAAACAUACUGGUAUGCACUAUUUCACCAUCAAGGAUAUAUGAAUCGGGUUUUUUGAGUAUGUUUUGACUCUAAACUGAGUUAUGAUGUAUUUCCAAAGCUAAAGUUUAGUGAAUUUAAUUUUCUUAUACCUUAAAUGUAACUUAGUAACUCUCAACAGUCAUAUUAAAAAAUAAGCAAGAGAUUUCAUCACUUCAGUUGGGAAAUACUGAAAUACGGCAUCCCUAGGUCUGACCCAGGGCUUCUUGAAGAGCUCUGUUCUGUGGAGAUUUGGUCCUGGAGAUGUCUGUAGGAUAUUUUUACGUCAGGUUGUGCAAAAUCCGUUGGGCUAUGCCAGUCUCACUCCAGAAUGCUCAUUUCACAUACUUUUUGUGACUCUCUCGGUACUUGCCAGUGUUUCAGCACAGUGUGAGCACCAGAAGGUCAUAAAUACUUUGUUGUGACAGCUCUGUCCUAUCUGUCCAAGGAUCUUCUUGGUGUUUAGCCACAGCAGCAGCAUUUUGAUGGAGGCAAAUCCUUCCAAGGGCAAGAAAGGCCUCAGUCCUCACCCUGAGCCCUCCAUCACCUGCUGGUCCCCUCUUCCUGCCUUAGGUCCUCAUCUGUCAUUAACAUGUCUUAAAUAUUCAUUCCUCACUCUCUCUGGCAUGCUUGAAAGCUGAAUUUUCAAUUAAAUAUUAACUAGUGUUUAAAGGCCAAUCAUUAGUGAAAAAAAAAGCAUUGGAAUAUUUUGCCCUCUGCAUCUGUUUCUGGUGAGCUGAUUCUCUCACUAAGCCAAGUAGCAGUUGCCAGUGGUGGUCAGUGAUGCACAGAGCAUCUCCCAAGCACAUCCCCUAGUGUCUACCUGGCUGCCUGUGGCACAUGUGAACUCCUGCUCCACAACCCGUGCCUGGGUUUCAGGCCCCCCCUGGGCAGGGUUGCUAGGGUCUCCAGGGCACCCUAGGCUGAGCCUGAAACUGCUCUCGCUCUUUUGAAGAUGCAAAGUGCCCUCACAAUACCCAGCCUUUGAGACGGGAACACAGCUGAAAACCUGGUGAGCUGAAGCUGCUUUGUGAUUGCCAGUGCUUUUGUCAUGCACCGGGGCUGCCAAUACAACUGCAGUAUCCCUUGUCAAGUGCCUAGCUCAACCUGCCCCUCUGGGCCCAGAAGGCUGAAAUGCUGCCUGGGAAGGCACAGGAGAGUAGAGGACAAGGCUAACAGACCAUUCUGUAGCCCUGGAAAAUUCAAAACUUAAAACCAGGCAGGUUUCAAGAAUGGGGAGAGGACAAGGGAUGUCUGGAUGCUCCUGGGUUAUCCUGACAUUCUAAACUUGGGCACAGACAGCCUGUUCAGGCUGCCUGCCUAAGUGUAGGUGCUGCUGCCCCAGGCUCUGCCUCUUCCAAGGUCCCCAGCCCCAACCCACUGUGCUGUGAGCACCAGAACCCACCUGAGCACCCAGAGGUUUUCACCCUGGUAGAAUGACCUUACCAGCACCUGUAAGGCAUAGACAGGAACUGGAAAGCUCCGGCUCUCCAGUGCAAGCAGAGAUGUUAAGUGUCCUACAAAACAAAUUUAUCACUAGGGAAUAUGACUUUCUCACCUAUCUGUUUUUGCUUCCUGAGGUACAUCUUCUACUCCAGCUCAGUUAACUUCUGUUCAGCACUGCUUUACUGGUAAUUACCUCUGCAAAUGAUACCUCUUCCAAAGUGCCCUGCCACCGUAUCUGUUAAAAACCUGUCAGAGAAGCCUGGGUCUGGACUCUGGAAUGACAUUUGGUGCAGUAGCAAUGUUUGAACACAAUGGUAUUUCCUUCUGAGAAGAAAAAAAGGACCCUUCAACUUGUUUUCUCUCCCCCACUCCCUCCUCCUGGAGGAGAUAUUCGCCAAGAGCCACAGAUGGGAUCGUUUACAGUUUCCUUUUGAGCUGCCUUGGCCCUUUCAGGUUGUUUAUUCAAGCUGGGCUCUCAAACGGGAGGGUGGGACAAGGAAGGCCUCCUUCCAUAUUCCAAUUUGGAUUGGGGUUGCUGAAGUUCUCCAGCUGACAGAAGAUGAUUGAUGAGAACGAUGCUGGCCGUAAACGUGGGAGGGUUUGGAGACCAGGCAGCUCUGCUCUUUGCAAGGCCUUAAAUCCUGGUUGUUGGAGCAAUGCGGGGAAUGCCAUCCUGGUGUAAUUACAAACUGACAACAGGAAAAGCCACUGGAAAAGGCAGGCACUCCAGCGUUGUGGUGGGACAGCUGAAGAGGUGGCUGGGGAUUUUUUGGUGUGCUUUGCUUGUGGAAACAUGCACACUUGGUCCCAAGCUGAGGUCAAAAUAUGCUUACAGAAAGCAGGGUCUAGAGACGAUGGGGGGAUCUGCAGCAGAAAGCCUGGAAAGCUGCUGGAAGGGCUGAGGAUCACCUCAGAGGGGAGGUUGCAGAAUCUUUGGAUACUUCCCUGGUGGCAGUGGGCUUAAUACACACUUGUUAAGAGCACUGGAACCAGCUGGCAACAGUGCUGGUCCACCCUAAUGGCCACAGUUUUGCACAGUCUCCUCUCCUGAGAGCAGCUCUCAUUGCGCAAGUACCAGCCUCAGCUUCUCCAAAGCAAAGCUUGAUGGAAAGGCCUCCAGGAGAGCACAAGAUCCCCUUUUGACUCAUGGGCGAGGCAGCAAGGAUAGGAGGCACAGGGGACUACCAUCGCAUGUGAUUCGGAACGGUGGCCCUGCUCCAGGGCUCUUCAGGGCAUGGUUAUAGGGAAGCUAAACUUUAAUCUGGUUUCUCCUUCCCAGAGGAUGGCUGGCAUGAGCUGGCACCACUUUUCAUUGCUCCGGCUGAACAGGCCUGUCCUGGUGUUGGACUUGCUGAACUACAGGGUGUGUGGCCUGGGUUAGGUCACCAAGAGCUUUAUUCAAAGCUGUAAGCACCCUGAAGCCUCUAGACUGGAAAUUUAACAAAACCAGGACAGCUGGGCUAGAAGAAAGCAGCCGGAGGUAAAGCAAGGCCCUAAACUAGAUGUACUUAGAGUAGCUCCUCCAGUUAGGCUGGAUGACCCUGUGGGGCUGGGAUGAGAAGCAGGGGAUUUCCCCUCCCCUCCCUGUGCCUGUGCUGCUGGUUUAAAUCCAACCACAGCUGAGCAGUAAAUAGUAGUUACCAUCCAGCAGCUGUGGGGUGACCUGUGUGCAGUGAGUCAGUGAGCUCUGGCCACACAGCCCUGCAGACAUCUGCCGCAGAGGAAGCCUGGGCUGGAAAGCAUAUUUUCUUUGGGAAUGUGCUCUCAUUUGGGUGAGCCCUGCAGUGCUCCCUGCACACAAGCGCUGCAGUGGCAUCCUGGGCUGCAGCACUCCAGCACCCCAGUGCUGCAGCUGCAUUCCAGGAUACAGUGAUGCUGCACACUAGUGCUGAAGACACAUCUCAAAAGGCAUCCCUCCUUCCGCACCAGCACUGCAGCAGCACCCCACGAUGCAGCUCUGCUACCCAGCACAACAGCAGGCAUCUGCAUGUUGUGGCUCAACAGUCAGGAUACGCAGGCCCAGCAGCAGAGCAGCAUCAGCGUGACCAUGUAACUAGAGUAGCUGUGAUUAAAGGGGAACCGUUGCCUUCUAACGCUGCUGAGCAAUCUGUAACCAGCUAAAUAGAAUCAUGGUGCUGCAGUUGGUCAGGCUGAGCCUGCAGCAGCUUGGGCACAUGCGUAUCUGCCUUAGUGACAUGGGGUUACACACAAGGGAACAAGGUAAAUGUUUGAAUACAGGGAGGAUGCUAAAUAUCUGACAGCUCUCCAGUGUCUCACAGAGCUGACAAACAGAGAGGGUUUUGAGCAGACAUUUGAAGGGCAGAGCAGGUUUUUUACAAGGAACUUCCUCUCCUGGGCAGAUGGGACAAAAGGGGAUAAAGCCAAGCAAAACCACACGGCUGCUUAUUUAUCACUUAUAUUCAGGCCAGCUGAGGCAUACACGCUUCCCACUGGGCAGGGGCUGCACAAACACGAGGAGACUCCAGUCCUGCCUCAGAGUUUCCAGCCUAACAAAAAAACCCCAAACUUGGAGGAGUAGCAGCUCUGAAAUCUCUCUGUAGAUCUCCAUCUGGUAAAAGAAGUGCAGACAGGGGCAUGUUCUCUCCACAUCAGCUGCACAGCGAGAGCGGCUUAGAUGAACUCUCCUGGCUGGUAAUAAAAUGAUUUUACAUAUGUAGGAAGCAGGAUGUGCAAAGCCCAGGAGUCUGAUCUUGUUUCUGAGAUCAAACAGAGUCUUAUUGUACAGGGGUGUGGAGCUGAUGUAACUGUCUAGUGUGCCGGACACAAUCGCCGUGGUUACGCAGCUGGACCGGAAUAAAGCAAGUCUGUAUCUCAACUCAUUAAUUUUUACAACCAA